UACGUAGGGUGCAAGCGUUAAUCGGAAUUACUGGGCGUAAAGCGUGCGUAGACGGUUUCGUAAGUCGGGUGUGAAAUCCCCGGGCUCAACCUGGGAAUUGCAUUCGAAACUGCGAGGCUAGGGUACGGAAGAGGGAAGCGGAAUUUCUGGUGUAGCGGUGAAAUGCGUAGAUAUCAGAAGGAACAUCAGUGGCGAAAGCGGCUUCCUGGUCCAGUACCGACGUUCAGGCACGAAAGCGUGGGGAGCAAACAGG
rnacentral:rRNA from 1 species